UGUUUUUUAAAUGUAGCAACUUUGUGAUUGACUCUCCAUGGUAGUAUUUGCUGACAAAUUUAUUAUCACACUCAUGACUUUCACUUGUGGGAUUUGUGGAAGUGUAGGUGUUGAAGUAGCAAAUGUAUAUAGGCUAGAAGUGACCCUUUAAUGUUACUACAUGCUAUUGUACACUUUAUUUGUAGUUAUACGAAUGGAUCGGCAAGUUUUUUGGGGAAGAGUUAUGAGAGAAUAAACGACGGAAGUGUCAGUUGUGGAAGACCCAAGAGUUUACAUCGGCAGACUGUAGCACGUUCACUGAACCACUAUAUACCAAAGAGGACGUUCAAGAAAAUUGCAUCAUUAUUUCUGUCUUUACAUCACGAGUAGACAUACAAUAAUUAUGUUAAAUUGUUUGUAUAAUGAAUUGUUUAUGAUCUAGAUCUAUAAAAGAGAAGUUAACAUGUUCUUGAACUUCUAUUAACACUG